rnacentral:lncRNA from 1 species
GAAAAGACAUCAAUGCUUAAUUGUUUGGAUCAAUUAGGAUGCAACGGAUAUGCUAUAAACUAAAGGCUCAUUGCAUUAAAGAAAAGAAAAAAAACGAAUGAAUAGCCUUAGAAUGCAUUAACAGUACUAAAAGAUAAGAAAGCAAUAAUAGUAAAAAAAAUAAAAAAAAGAAGCAUAUCAUAUAUAAAUUAUAAAAAUGCAUCUUAAAGAAAGUGUCGGCACUUCUUCCCAAAAGAAAAUUACUCCUCUGCCUCAUCAGCUGAACGCAACGUGCAUACUCCAAAUGAAAUCAGCCCUCUCCUUUUUAACGUUGAAAGCAAACCAAUUGAUAAAAAUGAAAUCUCCUCCGCUGCACAUGACAGCUGCAGCAUAUACUCACCAAAAUCUCCAAUUAAAAAAAAUAAAUAAGCAACGAUGCUGCAAUUAAAAUUUAAUUUAAAUGCUUCAAUAAAUUGAAUAACAACAACGGACAAAUCAAAAGAAGAAUAGAAAUGGCUGCCUCCGAGAAUCAAACUUCAGCACCGUGACACAUACACCAAGGAAACUAGCGUUUGCAAGAAAGAAAGAAAAGAAGUGCGUUCUUUAUUCUACACGAAAACGUUCCAAGCUAAGAAAAAAAAAGUAAAGGGUGUGACGGCUGGACAUUCAUUACUCAUUCAUCCAAAAUCCAACAACAAAAACAUGGUGUUUUUCAAGAAGGAAAAAAAAACGUUCCAACCCUAGAAACUUGUUACUAGUGACGGC